AUACCAAUCUAGCCUGGCUAGGUGUUGGGCUCCGCCACCGGGCGGGCCUUAAAACUAGUGGCGGUGCUCUCAAGCUCUACGCGUAGUAAUCUUCUCGCUAUAGGGUCUUGGGGAGAUGCUGGCCAGCAACCCUAAAUUUUUCUA
rnacentral:misc_RNA from 1 species